rnacentral:rRNA from 1 species
GGGGAAUCUUGGACAAUGGGGGAAACCCUGAUCCAGCCAUGCCGCGUGAGUGAUGAAGGCCUUCGGGUUGUAAAGCUCUUUUGUAUGGGAAGAUAAUGACUGUACCAUAAGAAUAAGCCCCGGCUAACUUCGUGCCAGCAGCCGCGGUAAUACGAAGGGGGCUAGCGUUGUUCGGAAUUACUGGGCGUAAAGGGUGCGUAGGUGGUUAUGUAAGUCAGAAGUGAAAGCCCUGGGCUCAACCCGGGAAUUGCUUUUGAAACUAUGUAGCUAGAGUUCGAGAGAGGUAAGUGGAAUAUCCAGUGUAGAGGUAAAAUUCGUAGAUAUUGGAUGGAACACCGGUGGCGAAGGCGGCUUACUGGCUCGAUACUGACACUGAGGCACGAAAGCGUGGGGAGCAAACAGGA